UGUGCGAGCCUGAUCCAGCCAUGCCGCGUGUGUGAAGAAGGUCUUCGGAUUGUAAAGCACUUUAAGUUGGGAGGAAGGGCAGUAAGUUAAUACCUUGCUGUUUUGACGUUACCAACAGAAUAAGCACCGGCUAACUUCGUGCCAGCAGCCGCGGUAAUGA
rnacentral:rRNA from 1 species